CUAUAGCAGCUCCAUGUCAUUGCACCCGCUACUUACAAAAAGAUGCACUUCGUGACAAAGUGAUUCGUCACAAAGCAAAUUUUUGGUAAAUUCGGCGAAUCAGUCAAAUCAAACUUUUCAAUUAUUCGCUCAUCUCUAAGACUGACCUU